UAUGGUAAUUGUGCAGCCGCGGUAAUACGUAGGGGGCAAGCGUUAUCCGGAUUUACUGGGUGUAAAGGGAGCGUAGACGGAUGGACAAGUCUGAUGUGAAAGGCUGGGGCUCAACCCCGGGACUGCAUUGGAAACUGCCCGUCUUGAGUGCCGGAGAGGUAAGCGGAAUUCCUAGUGUAGCGGUGAAAUGCGUAGAUAUUAGGAGGAACACCAGUGGCGAAGGCGGCUUACUGGACGGUAACUGACGUUGAGGCUCGAAAGCGUGGGGAGCAAACAGG
rnacentral:rRNA from 1 species